CGCCUAUCCAAAGUUCACAUGUUUUUGCCAGAGCCUCCUUUUCUGCCGGAGGAGGCGGUGCUGCGCCCUGGCGCGGACGCGCGGACACGUAUCCGCGAUCCGCAGCGAGCGGAGCGGGUCCCGAGCUGCUCUCGGCGGCCCCUUGGGACGCGGCCAGCCAGCGCUGCCCCCGCCGCUGCGCAGCCACCUUAAGACGGGAGGAGGGGGGCCGAGGGGCCGGCGGCCUGGCAGGAAUCAAAAAUUCAAAGGCUUCAGAAAUAUUAGCUGAUUCAGCAGAAAAUGAUCCCUUCGAAAAUGCAAAGGCUCAACCUUUACUUGGCCUUUUUUUUUUUUUUUAAAUCAAUUCCUGUCUCCCCUCCUCCUAAUCGGAACCCCCUUUUAUGGCUGGUUGAAUGUAGAGGGUCACCUGUCUCUUUUGGUGGUACCUUGUUCAUAGAGGGUCAUUGUCCAGAAAGUUCGACUUCGCAGCAACAACAGGUAAUUUCUGGAACACCAGUUCUGAGGGCAGUUGAGAGGCAGGUCCCCCUUGUAAGGACCGGCCUGGGGCUGCGUUGCCCGGACCACAGAUGGGAGGGGCUGGUUUCCAAAAGCAACACAGGCGGGGAAAAGUUCCUACUGCUUUUCUUCAGCAGGGAAAUGUCAAAUGGUGAAGUUUAGAAUUACACCAUAUAAAUUUACUAGAAUUAGGUAAAAACAAACUGACAUUUGAAAAUUGAGGCUGAAAAUAGUUGAUUUUGGCUUUUAAUUGGCUUUUAAAUUUUCUUUUUUAUUUUGAGACAAGAUGAAAGCUUUGAUGAUGUGGAAUGUGGAAUUUUUCGGUAAGUAUAUUAAGUUUGCAGGGGAAAAUAAGCAGACAAAACUUCAGAGCUUUCAAAAAUUGUGGUAUUUGAAGGACCUAACUGAGUUGCGAGAUUAAAACUAUUUGCCCAAAAAUCAUUAAAAAUUUACUUUUGAGAGAAUAUAAGGAUGGCAUUUAAAAUUUACCAUUAAAUUAAAUGGCUACUUGACAAUUUUUGCGAGCAGAAGAGACCAGGAAGCCAGUUAGUGUGUGAAAGACAGUGACUGGCCAGCUAAAAGCAAACCAGAAUCAUUUAUCAACAUGGCCGCUAAAUAAUGAUUUUUUUCUUUUGUGUGUAAAGCAGCUGCUUUUUAAGGGAGGGGAAAUAGCUUUAGUAGUGACAUAAAUGAAGUAGGAAACUUUCUGGAGGAAUUUCUGAACAGAUGUCUUGUUACUGAGUAGCCCACAGCUUAAUAACAUAAACAGUUGAAGGCAUGAAUUAACUCAGAGGAGGGGAUGUUUUACCAAACAUUGGAUACUAAGUUAGAUAGGAGGCUAUUGAUAUAGUGUAUAUAUUGUUUCCAAUUUAAGAAACUUUGGAGCAAUUAUGUUUCAGUGGAUUUUGUUUAAAAAUCCAGCAUAAAACUCUUGAAACAAGAGUGAGUCUAACAUAUACCAAUAAAAUGAUACAUUCCAGAGAUUAAAAAGAGAACGCUUUAGUAACUAAAGCAGUUUCUUAGGCAUUGUAUAAAACAACAAUUGUUUCUCCUAAAAGCUUAUUUUCUUUCAGUGCUAUAUUUCAAGAGAAUAGAAAUGUAUAUAUAUAUAUAAAAUCAAGUACUAUAUUUUUGGAAAAUAUAAAACUGUAUUGGGUAAUAUUGGGGUUUCUUGGUGUUUUUAAGUCUGUCUUUCAAAGGAUUAUGUCUUGAGUCAUCCCCUCCAUAGAUGGAAGGGAAGGUAGAGGUUAACUGGUCUUGCUUCUGUCUCUACCAGAAUUAAAAUAGGUGAGAUUAUUUUGAAACUCUUUCAUAUUACUGUUAAACUCUGUUAAAGGUCUUCCUCUUCUAUUUUGUCUGCCACAAGGAAAACGAUCCUGUCAGAAGGAGCUACUCACUGCUGUGUCUGCUGUAACAAGGCUAAGUGGGAUGGAAGGAGAUAACCGAGACAAAUGUGUGCCACUGGCCAGGAAUCAGAGAGCAAAGGCCACGUCUUAGCUCUCUCUUUUUCCCACACGGAUUCUGGACCAGGGAAGAACUUAAUGUGAUUCUCCAGCACGGGGCUGGAGUCAUUCGAGUGCCUGCGGACAUGGGAUUGCACUGUGCACAGAGCCUUCCUUCUCGACUCACUUCCCGCUGCCACAUGUGCCACUUGGUUGGAGUGUUUCAAGCAUUGCCGCUAAUUAUCUUCGGAGAGGGAGGAGGGAGAUUUCUAUGCAUCCUCCUGGUUGUGGCCCCAUGAAGAGCCGGUCCUCAUGGUCCUCAUAGCUGGGAAGAGCUCCAUCUAACUCAUUACCUUCAGUAAACAGAGCCUGUCCCUUCAGUGGCCAACUGCUGCGUUCACAGCUUCCAGUGAGGAAUCGAGCAAUUUGCCAAAUUAAUUUUCUCCCCUUCAAGGUAGCUCUUGGUGGGUAAUGCCUAUGUAUACACACUCGUAACCGGAUGGCUUCUUUAAAGUAUGCUUUCCAAGGGGGAAAAGUUGAAGAUGAAAAAGGGCCAUGUUUCCUGCCCCUCACGACUGAUUUUUAUAGUUUUUUGAAAACUGAAUUCUUGUGGUUACAUCCUGGAAGUGUUUUUUAAGAUCUUUGGCUGAUUUUGAAUUAAUUGAAAGCAAGAUAUAUUGAUUUGUUUAUACCUGAGGGUUUUCCUCUGGUUGCCUAAUUGUAAUGAAGAAGGCAAUAGGUUCUGAAAAUGUUCUUUCAUAGGCGUUUCUGGAGGCGACAGCCCUACCUGCCACUAUGUUCUCGCUCACGCAUUUUGAGUUCCCUUCUGUCUACACAGAGUACCCAAAGUUGUAACACCUAGGCAUUCCUAUCUAGUUCCCCCUGUCUCCCCUCCAGCAGAAGCCAUGGUGAAUUUUUCCAGAAGUCAGAAUCGACUAGACUCGGUGAGAUUCUGUGUCUCCGCGGCUUCCUGGAAAGGUUAAUGCACUCUCCUUCUUGAAACCUCUUUAGGGCAGACACAGGAAUUUUUACUCAGACUUCCUUCCACACAGAACAUCAAUAAAUAUGGAAAUUAAGGCUUCAAAUCUCACUUCUGAUGAAACAAUAUGCUGUCUAAAUUCAGUUAAUUGUAAGGUACUUGGUGUUGAAAGACAAAGAUAUGCUAAUCUUAUUAAAAUAUGCCUGGUUAAAUUUAGCUAUAAAUUCCAUUCAGGGACUCUUGCUUUAUACAUUGUUCCAAGUCAGAACGUCUGGAAAGAAAACCACCCACUGUGCAGGGUACAGAGUUAGUAAUUUGGAAAGGUGAAGAGUUUAAUUAUGAGCCUAUCUUCUGGGGGAAAAAGUGAAACAAGGCUGAAUGCUUAAUUUUUUUGUUUGUUUAGAUUAAACCAACUGAACGGCUCUUCCACAUUGUGUACAUUUAUAUGACUUCACAGCAAGAAAAGCUUUUAACAUUUUUUCUGUUUCAUUUGACUUGAAGUUGUUUUUAAUAUACACAAAUGAGGGAAAGAGCCUUGACUGAAGUAGAGUUCAACACUGUUUACACAGAUUCAAUCAAUUUUUAGUUUUCCAGAUAAUUAAAGAGGUCGGCAUUUUGAAUUGUGGCUAAAGGCCUUACCCGGGGUUUAGAGACCAAGGAGGUGGACCCUGGCUCUUUGCUUGCCUGGUUAUGAAACGCUGUGGGCGUUAUGGAGCCUCUCAGUACCUCAGUUUCUUUAUAUGUAAUCUGGGAUAAAAUGAUGAUAUAUUUAAAAAGAGCUUUUUUUUUCCUCCUUAUAGAAUAAAAUAUAUGUUCUUUAUAGAGUAUUUAUAAAAAUUCAUAUAUAACAUUUGGAUAGACAUAAAUGUAUAUAUUUGCACAGACACACUUACACACAGACACACACACACACACACACACACACACAGAGUACCAUCCAUAAUCCAACCACUUAGAUGUAACUCUGUUCAGUUUUGGUCAGAUUCCUAGCCAUUCAGCCAUCCGUCUAAGCACACCUGCAUGCAUGCAUCUAACCAGCCAUUAGCAAAUAUUAGAUCACACAAUAGCUAUUUUUUUAUGACUUUCUCUAUUCAAUUACCAUAUUAUGACUAUAUUUUCACAUUAUUAGAUAUUCUUUCAUAUUAUGAUAAUAAUUUUACUUUUGAAAAACCACCCAUAAUUUGUUGCCCAAGACUAUGUUAUUGGGUCUUUGGUUUGCUCCAUUUUUGAUAAUCCUUGUAAACAAUGCUGCAGGGGACAUCUUCAUGCAUUGUUUGCUUAGGC
ensembl:lncRNA